GGUUAAGCGAAUAAGCGUACACGGUGGAUGCCCUGGCAGUCAGAGGCGAUGAAGGACGUGCUAAUCUGCGAUAAGCGUCGGUAAGGUGAUAUGAACCGUUAUAACCGACGAUUUCCGAAUGGGGAAACCCGGUGCACUCAGUGCAUCAUCGCAACAUGAAUACAUAGUGUUGCGAAGCGAACCGGGGGAACUGAAACAUCUAAGUACCCCGAGGAAAAGAAAUCAACCGAGAUUCCCCCAGUAGCGGCGAGCGAACGGGGAGGAGCCCGGAACCAUCAUCAGUGUGUGUAUUAAUGGAAGCGUCCGGAAUGUCGCACGAUACAGGGUGAAAGUCCCGUACAUGAAAAUACACACAUUGUGAGUUCGAAGAGUAGGGCGGGACACGUGGUAUCCUGUCUGAAUAUGGGGGGACCAUCCUCCAAGGCUAAAUACUCCUGACUGACCGAUAGUGAACCAGUACCGUGAGGGAAAGGCGAAAAGAACCCCGGCGAGGGGAGUGAAAAGAACCUGAAACCGUGUACGUACAAGCAGUGGGAGCACCUUUNGGUGUGACUGCGUACCUUUUGUAUAAUGGGUCAGCGACUUAUAUUCUGUAGCAAGGUUAACCGAAUAGGGGAGCCGAAGGGAAACCGAGUCUUAACUGGGCGUUAAGUUGCAGGGUAUAGACCCGAAACCCGGUGAUCUAGCCAUGGGCAGGUUGAAGGUUGGGUAACACUAACUGGAGGACCGAACCGACUAAUGUUGAAAAAUUAGCGGAUGACCUGUGGCUGGGGGUGAAAGGCCAAUCAAACCGGGAGAUAGCUGGUUCUCCCCGAAAGCUAUUUAGGUAGCGCCUCGUGAAUUCAUCUCCGGGGGUAGAGCACUGUUUCGGCUAGGGGGCCAUCCCGGCUUACCAACCCGAUGCAAACUGCGAAUACCGGAGAAUGUUAUCACGGGAGACACACGGCGGGUGCUAACGUCCGUCGUGAAGAGGGAAACAACCCAGACCGCCAGCUAAGGUCCCAAAGUCACAGUUAAGUGGGAAACGAUGUGGGAAGGCUCAGACAGCCAGGAUGUUGGCUUAGAAGCAGCCAUCAUUUAAAGAAAGCGUAAUAGCUCACUGGUCGAGUCGGCCUGCGCGGAAGAUGUAACGGGGCUAAACUGUGCACCGAAGCUGCGGCAGCGACACUAUGUGUUGUUGGGUAGGGGAGCGUUCUGUAAGCCGUUGAAGGUGGUCUGUGAGGGCUGCUGGAGGUAUCAGAAGUGCGAAUGCUGACAUGAGUAACGAUAAAGCGGGUGAAAAGCCCGCUCGCCGGAAGACCAAGGGUUCCUGUCCAACGUUAAUCGGGGCAGGGUGAGUCGACCCCUAAGGCGAGGCUGAAAAGCGUAGUCGAUGGGAAACAGGUUAAUAUUCCUGUACUUGGUGUUACUGCGAAGGGGGGACGGAGAAGGCUAUGUCAUCCGGGCGACGGUUGUCCCGGUUUAAGCGUGUAGGCUGAGAUUCCAGGCAAAUCCGGAAUUUCAUACGGCUGAGACGUGAUGACGAGGUACUACGGUACUGAAGUGACAAAUGCCCUGCUUCCGGGAAAAGCCUCUAAGCUCCAGGUAACACGAAAUCGUACCCCAAACCGACACAGGUGGUCAGGUAGAGAAUACCAAGGCGCUUGAGAGAACUCGGGUGAAGGAACUAGGCAAAAUGGUGCCGUAACUUCGGGAGAAGGCACGCUGGCGCGUAGGUGAAGGGACUUGCUCCCGGAGCUGAAGCCAGUCGAAGAUACCAGCUGGCUGCAACUGUUUAUUAAAAACACAGCACUGUGCAAACACGAAAGUGGACGUAUACGGUGUGACGCCUGCCCGGUGCCGGAAGGUUAAUUGAUGGGGUUAUCCGCAAGGAGAAGCUCUUGAUCGAAGCCCCGGUAAACGGCGGCCGUAACUAUAACGGUCCUAAGGUAGCGAAAUUCCUUGUCGGGUAAGUUCCGACCUGCACGAAUGGCGUAAUGAUGGCCAGGCUGUCUCCACCCGAGACUCAGUGAAAUUGAAAUCGCUGUGAAGAUGCAGUGUACCCGCGGCAAGACGGAAAGACCCCGUGAACCUUUACUAUAGCUUGACACUGACUAUUGAGCCUUGAUGUGCAGGAUAGGUGGGAGGCUUUGAAGUACNGACGCCAGUUCGUACGGAGCCAACCUUGAAAUACCACCCUUUAAUGUUUGAUAGUCUAACGUAGACCCGUAAUCCGGGUUGCGGACAGUGUCUGGUGGGUAGUUUGACUGGGGCGGUCUCCUCCCAAAGAGUAACGGAGGAGCACGAAGGUUAGCUAAUCACGGUCGGACAUCGUGAGGUUAGUGCAAAGGCAUAAGCUAGCUUGACUGCGAGAGUGACGGUUCGAGCAGGUGCGAAAGCAGGUCUUAGUGAUCCGGUGGUUCUGAAUGGAAGGGCCAUCGCUCAACGGAUAAAAGGUACUCCGGGGAUAACAGGCUGAUACCGCCCAAGAGUUCAUAUCGACGGCGGUGUUUGGCACCUCGAUGUCGGCUCAUCACAUCCUGGGGCUGAAGUAGGUCCCAAGGGUACGGCUGUUCGCCGUUUAAAGUGGUACGCGAGCUGGGUUUAGAACGUCGUGAGACAGUUCGGUCCCUAUCUGCCGUGGGCGCUGGAGAAUUGAGGGGGGUUGCUCCUAGUACGAGAGGACCGGAGUGAACGCACCACUGGUGUUCGGGUUGUCAUGCCAAUGGCAUUGCCCGGUAGCUAAGUGCGGAAAAGAUAAGUGCUGAAAGCAUCUAAGCACGAAACUUGCCCCGAGAUGAGUUCUCCCUGACUCCUUGAGAGUCCUGAAGGGACGUUGAAGACUACGACGUUGAUAGGCCGGAUGUGUAAGUGCAGCGAUGCAUUGAGCUAACCGGUACUAAUGACCCGUGAGGCUUAACCUU
rnacentral:rRNA from 2 species